rnacentral:rRNA from 1 species
CUGUUUUAGGAAAGGACCAAGGAGUCUAACAGCGCGCGAGUCCUGGGUCGGAGACGCUCCGCGAAACCCAAAGUCGCAGUGAAAGUGAAGGUUUCCCUUCAGCGGGACCGAGGGAGGACGGAGGCGCAUCGCCUCCCGCACUCCCGGGGCGUCUGAUUCCUCAUUCUGAGGGAAGGCGCACCCAGAGCGCACACGUUGGGACCCGAAAGAUGGUGAACUAUA